AUUUUCAUUUAUACGUUUACUUAUUUCUAAAACAAAUUAUUUCCCCUUUUCAGCUUCUUCCUCCACGCAAGAGAGAGCUUCACAAGGCCACCUUCUGCAUCCAAACCUCUCGAAUUCGGCGCAUCAACCACCAGAUGCAACCCUCCCAUUCCCUUACUCGAACUCUCUAUCGACCCUUUCUUCUGUUGCUCACUCAUCAAAGUUAUCGUAGAAGUAUAAACAUUAUCAACCUCCUUCUCUAACUGAUCGGAGAGAAGGAAUUCUAUUUGAGUAUAGUCAAGUGACAUAUGGGUCGUUGGGUUGUUGAACUCGGGUCCAUUACCACAUUCACAGGUACGAGUUUAUUAUUUGUACCUUUCAUCUAUUUCAUUUCUCUUCUCUUUUCAUAUUUUUUUUUAUUUAUCUCUGCAUAUAUUUGUUCCUAUGGUUCUCUACGGUUGUAAUUUUAUUUUUAUUCUCUAAUUAGUGAUUAAGUAAUUAAAUCAAUUUGUGCUUUGUUCUUUGAAUGCUGAGAGUUGAGAUGAGACCAUUAGUAUGAAAAAUAGUCAUAGUCAAGUGAUUGUCUCUAUUUUGUAGAGUUCUAUAUUGAUUCUAGGUCUUUCUAACAGGGCUACGAUUUAGUUAUUAUCCGUUUGUUUUUUUUUUUUUUUGUAAUAAUCAAGUAUUCCCCUCAAACUCCAUUCUUUUUCCUAGCUCAUGGAUUCACAUUUUAAGUUUGUUUUGCUUUUGUUCAUUACUUUAGGGAUAUACAUUAUGAAGUGCUCCCAAAAAUUCAUUGGCUUUCAUAAUCCGAACUCUGUCUCAUAAUCAUUUAUGAUUUUGGUUAAUUGAUUUAAAUUUUCUAAUAGGUGGUGAAUGGUGUCUUGGGUUUCAUUGGGUUUGGUAGUAAAAUCAUAAUAUGUGAUUUUGGAAUAGGUUAUUUAGUUUUUUUUUCUGUUUAUGAUGUUAUCUCAUAGAGAAGAUUAUGAGGAAAUUUGAAAAGGAUGGUUAGUACAUGUAAAUUUCUUAAUAGUUUAUGUUAUACUUUAAAUUUUUCCCUUUAUAUAUUACAUGAUCUGGUUGUAGUUAUAUCCAAUAGGUAUAACAGUUUUUUUUGUGCUUACAGUCUAGUAGAUGUGAAAGUCUUAAAGUUAUUGUUGUAACUACUCCAGGGACUUAUUAUAUAGUGUGAGAUAUUUGAUGUUUUGAAUUUCUUAUUUGUGUGUCUUGAACUUUCAUUUGAUUUGUUUGUUGACUUGUACUAAAAUAUAUAUGCACAAACAUCAUCUUAUAUGGGUACAAACUUUCGUUUGAUUUCUUGGUCAUUGGAUUUGCUUAUUUACGCAGUAGAAGAAGAUAUACCAUUAGCAGCAAUAAUUUCUAUUGAUGUUUACUCAUUAGCUACUUACUCACUUAUACUAUCUUGGGAGCUAUUUUAGGUGUCUAACUUUCACUUUGGUGAGUGUUUGGUUUCAAAAAAUUUAGCUGGUCAAUGCCUAAAAUUGAGUUGUUUCCAUUUUUAAUGUUAUUUGUUUCUAUUUUUUAUGUUAGAUGAGGUUAAAUGCUAGUUGUUUUCAUUUCACAACAAACUAUAGUGUCUAUUCCGAGAUUAUGUUAUUUCCAUUUCGCAACAAGCUAUGAAAGAUAUUGCUACAAAUUUUGUUUUAGAACAUAUCCCUUUCUACUAAUGAUCUCGUCUUGUUGUGGCUUUCAAUGUGGAAGUGGCUGUGAUGGGGGCUAGCCCAUUUUCUACUUGGAGAUACCUUGUCCAUCAUGGUGUUGUGACUGAAGUGUGUGACCCGUAUUUCGAUGAUACUGAUUAUUCUCAUCCUGGUUGCGAGCUUGGAUUUCUAACUCCGAAAUGUGCUAGAAAGUGAGUUGACAAGAACCAAUUCAAGAAGAAUUCAAAGCAUUAAAAUAAUAAUGCAUACAUAAUCAAGUCCGACCCCCACAGUAUUAUGGAUGAAGUUUAUAUGAAUGGUCCAAUUGAACUUUCAUUCACCAUUUAUGAGCUUCUUGCAAAUCAGAUGGGGAUGGUUACUUCAUGAUCAGGAGAGGAACAAAUGAGUGUGGUAUCGAAGAUGAUAUGGUUGCUGGUCUGCUUUCAAAGUGAAAUAUUAUCAAAGAGGUUGCAAGUGCUGAUGCCUUUUCGGAUGCUUCGUAUUGAUUUUAAAACUUUUCAUUUACACUCAAUGUUCAAGCAGAAAAUAAAAGGACUCCAAAUUUCUACUAGUAUCAUCAUAUUAUACUCUAUUAGUUUAGAAUUCAAUUAUUUUAUUUAUGGAUAAGUUGGAAUUUAUCUUUUGUAUCAUAUAAUGAACACAGAAGAACAUAUUAUUGGUUGAAUACCUCCAUAUAUAUAUAUAGGGCAAGACUAUAGUAGGACUUAGCAAAAA